rnacentral:rRNA from 1 species
AGUGAACGCUGGCGGUAGGCCUAACACAUGCAAGUCGAACGGCAGCACAGUAAGAGCUUGCUCUUACGGGUGGCGAGUGGCGGACGGGUGAGGAAUACAUCGGAAUCUACUUUUUCGUGGGGGAUAACGUAGGGAAACUUACGCUAAUACCGCAUACGACCUACGGGGGAAAGCAGGGGAUCUUCGGACCUUGCGCGAUUGAAUUAGCCGAUGUCGGAUUAGCUAGUUGGCGGGGUAAAGGCCCACCAAGGCGACGAUCCGUAGCUGGUCUGAGAGGAUGAUCAGCCACACUGGAGCUGAGACACGGUCCAUACUCCUACGGGAGGCAGCAGUGUGGAAUAUUGGACAAUGGGCGCAAGCCUGAUCCAGCCAUACCGCGUGGGUGAAGAAGGCCUUCGGGUUGUAAAGCCCUUUUGUUGGGAAAGAAAAGCAGCAGGUUAAUACCCCGCUGUUCUGACGGUACCCAAAGAAUAAGCACCGGCUAACUUCGUG